CUAGUCCUACGGGGGGCAGCAGUGAGGGAUAUUGCACAAUGGGGGAAACCCUGAUGCAGCAACGCCGCGUGAAGGAAGACGGUUUUCGGAUUGUAAACUUCUGUUCUUAGUGAAGAAGAAUGACGGUAGCUAAGGAGCAAGCCACGGCUAACUACGUGCCAGCAGCCGCGGUAAUACGUAGGUGGCAAGCGUUGUCCGGAAUUACUGGGUGUAAAGGGAGCGCAGGCGGGAAGCCAAGUCAGCUGUGAAAACUACGGGCUUAACUUGUAGACUGCGGUUGAAACUGGUUUUCUUGAGUGAAGUAG
rnacentral:rRNA from 1 species